GCAAGUAAGAGUGCAGGAGAUCCACGUUGCAAUCUGCCCCAUAACGGCGAAGGCGCACCGCGACCUACUCUUACACUUAUCGCCAAAUAAAAAGAAUUCAUUCAGGUCAAAAUAGCGCUAAAGAGGAAACAAAGAGUAGCCACAGUAUGAUAUGGCCCUCCUCAUUCACUUGAGGGUCAAGAGGGGCUCUUUUUUUUGCUUUCUUCUUAUAUCUUCUACCUGCUUCAGUUUGGGAAAGUGAUCACGCUCUUCUGGCCUCCUCCCUCUUCUUUUUUCGCUAUAUAUAUAUAUAUAUAUGUGUGUGUGUGUGUUUGCCUGCGAUGGUGUGUGGGGUUUCUUUGUGUGUGGGCCAUUUCUCUUUCUCGCUCGUCUGUCUCUCUCCCCGCCCCUCCCUCCGACUCUUCUCUCUUGGACCUUUUCUCCCUCCUCCUUUCCUUUCCUUUCCUUUUCUUCCCCUUUCUUCAGAAUGCUGUAGAGUUCCACGUGAAGAACUCUUGUUGACUCCAUGAGAUGAAAGGAGAACCCGACGCUGACACUUGGGCGAUGCUCAGGUGAGGCUGGGCAGAGCGCAUGGGCGGUGCGGCAUGCGCUGCCCCAAGCGCAAGAAUGUCUCUACUUGUAAGCAUCCGUGGGCUCCCGAUACACGUUUGUUUG
rnacentral:misc_RNA from 1 species